UACGGGGGGAGCAAGCGUUGUUCGGAUUUACUGGGCGUAAAGGGCGCGUAGGCGGCCAGCACAAGUCAGUUGUGAAAUCUCCGAGCUUAACUCGGAAAGGUCAACUGAUACUGUGCGGCUAGAGUGCAGAAGGGGCAACUGGAAUUCUUGGUGUAGCGGUGAAAUGCGUAGAUAUCGAGAGGAACACCAGAGGCGAAGGCGCCUGCCUGGCCAAAACAUUGACGCUGGAGGCGCG
rnacentral:rRNA from 1 species